GCAGCAGGACGAUAGCUUGCUAUUGCCGCUGGCGACCGGCGCACGGGUGAGUAACGCGUAUCCAACCUUCCCCUUAGUAGAGGAUAGCCCGGCGAAAGUCGGAUUAAUACUCUAUGUUGUAUUUUGAGGACAUCUGACGAAUACCAAAGAUUCAUCGCUAAGGGAUGGGGAUGCGUCUGAUUAGCUUGUUGGCGGGGUAACGGCCCACCAAGGCGACGAUCAGUAGGGGUUCUGAGAGGAAGGUCCCCCACAUUGGUACUGAGACACGGACCAAACUCCUACGGGAGGCAGCAGUGAGGAAUAUUGGUCAAUGGGCGGAAGCCUGAACCAGCCAAGUAGCGUGAGGGAUGACGGCCCUACGGGUUGUAAACCUCUUUUAUGCGGGGAUAAAGUGCGCCACGCGUGGCGUUUUGCAGGUACCGCAUGAAUAAGGACCGGCUAAUUCCGUGCCAGCAGCCGCGGUAAUACGGAAGGUCCGGGCGUUAUCCGGAUUUAUUGGGUUUAAAGGGAGCGCAGGCGGAGGGUCAAGUCAGCCGUAAAAUCGUCCUGCUCAACAGGAUCCCGCGGUUGAAACUGGUCCCCUUGGGUGCACAAGAGGCACGCGGAACUCGUGGUGUAGCGGUGAAAUGCAUAGAUAUCACGAAGAACGCCGAUUGCGAAGGCAGCGUGCUGGGGUGUAACCGACGCUCA
rnacentral:rRNA from 1 species